CACGUAGGGCGCAAGCGUUGUCCGGAAUUAUUGGGCGUAAAGAGCUCGUAGGUGGUUUGUUACGUCUGCUGUGAAAACCUAGGGCUUAACCCUGGGCUUGCAGUGGAUACGGGCAGACUAGAGGUAGGUAGGGGAGAAUGGAAUUCCUGGUGUAGCGGUGAAAUGCGUAGAUAUCAAGCGGAACACCAGUGGCGAAGGCGAGUCUCUGGACAUUUCCUGACGCUGAGGCACGAAAGCCAGGGGAGCAAACGGG
rnacentral:rRNA from 1 species